UGGCAGUGUGGUUAGCUGGUUGUGAGCUUCUACAAACAACCACUACCUGCAUUGCUUCA
rnacentral:pre_miRNA from 1 species